rnacentral:rRNA from 1 species
GGAAUAUUGGACAAUGGGCGAAAGCCUGAUCCAGCAAUGCCGCGUGAGUGAUGAAGGCCCUAGGGUUGUCAAGCUCUUUUACCCGGGAUGAUAAUGACAGUACCGGGAGAAUAAGCCCCGGCUAACUCCGUGCCAGCAGCCGCGGUAAUACGGAGGGGGCUAGCGUUGUUCGGAAUCACUGGGCGUAAAGCGCACGUAGGCGGCUUUGCAAGUCAGAGGUGAAAGCCCGGGGCUCAACCCCGGAAUAGCCUUUGAGACUGCAUCGCUUGAACGUCGGAGAGGUGAGUGGAAUUCCGAGUGUAGAGGUGAAAUUCGUAGAUAUUCGGAAGAACACCAGUGGCGAAGGCGGCUCACUGGACGACUGUUGACGCUGAGGUGCGAAAGCGUGGGGAGCAAAC